UACGAAGGGGGCUAGCGUUGUUCGGAAUUACUGGGCGUAAAGCGCGCGCAGGCGGCUCUUCAAGUCAGGGGUGAAAGCCCAGAGCUCAACUCUGGAACUGCCUUUGAGACUGUAGAGCUUGAGUACGGGAGAGGUGAGUGGAACUCCGAGUGUAGAGGUGAAAUUCGUAGAUAUUCGGAAGAACACCAGUGGCGAAGGCGACACACUGGCCCGUUACUGACGCUGAGGCGCGAAAGCGUGGGGAGCAAACAGGG
rnacentral:rRNA from 1 species